rnacentral:rRNA from 1 species
CCUACGGGAGGCAGCAGUGAGGAAUAUUGGUCAAUGGACGAGCGUCUGAACCAGCCAAGUCGCGUGAAGGAUGACUGCCCUAUGGGUUGUAAACUUCUUUUAUAUGGGAAUAAAAUGUUCCACGUGUGGGAUUUUGUAUGUACCUUACGAAUAAGCAUCGGCUAACUCCGUGCCAGCAGCCGCGGUAAUACGGAGGAUCCGAGCGUUAUCCGGAUUUAUUGGGUUUAAAGGGAGCGUAGGUGGGUUGUUAAGUCAGUUGUGAAAGUUUGCGGCUCAACCGUAAAAUUGCAGUUGAAACUGGCAGUCUUGAGUACAGUAGAGGUGUGCGGAAUUCGUGGUGUAGCGGUGAAAUGCUUAGAUAUCACGAAGAACUCCGAUUGCGAAGGCAGUUCACUGGACUGCAACUGACACUGAGGCUCGAAAGUGUGGGUAUCAAACAGGAUUAGAUACCCCUGUAGUC